UUUAUGAACACAGACUCUCAGUUUAACAGAAACUUCUCUAAAAGAGGACACGACAACUGUAAAAAAUGAAUAAAAUUUGGGUCUUGUGCCUUGGGAUGCUGAUCAUGACUUUACCAUUUUCAGCUUCACAGGCAGCCAGUAAUUCAUCUGGGCCUGGAGGUCCACCUGGUGGACAAACUCAAGCAGAUUCAGCUUCUAAAAAGUCCGGCACUGCAGGAUUUAGUAUGUCCACCCCAAUGUGUCUACUGAUACCAGCAGCCACGCUCCUCAUCCUAUACGGCAAAUCUUAAACUGGAUGAAAGUUUGCCGUCCAUCGAGAAGACCGUGAUAAUGAGAACCGUCUCAAAACUGAAAAUACAAUCUGAGCUCAUACUUGGCUCUUUUAAAAUAAUCCAAAUUGAUUCUGAAGUUUAGAUAAUUAUUUUAAAGACUUUCAGGAAAUCUGCCAAGUGUCCUCCAGAGCAGAAAUUUGAUCAUUUCAGUUUGUGUAAUAACAUGCGUUGUACACCUUAUAAUAUGAAUCUUGUCAGUGUCAUCUUUCUCCUCUUACAAUAUUUUAUUAUAAACAAUCAUUGUUGUGAUCAAGACUGAAUCAAUAUGCACAUUAAAGUGGAUGGUUGUA